rnacentral:rRNA from 1 species
AUGGAACCUAUCCAAACAUGUUGCCUUCUCAGUUGGCUGGAGCUUCAUGUGGGUUAUUUUAUUUGGACUCCUAUUUGCCGGGGUCAGAUCUUAUGCAGUGUACAAAUACAGUCUACAGGAAAACUGAUCACAUGCUCACCAAUACCCCAGCGAGGCAUCACUACCUGGGUUCCUAGUUCAUUGAAGAGACAAACAUCAAAGUCUGGAAGAUAUUUUAGAAACGAUGAAGUCGACGUCCAGCAAGAAGCUCAAGGAGUUUUAAUGGGCCACAUUAAAAUCUGUGAGCUCGCAGGAACAGGGCAGUAA